GAGUUUGAUCCUGGCUCAGGAUGAACGCUGGCGGCGUGCUUAAUACAUGCAAGUCGAACGGGGAGUUAGCAAUAGCUCCGAGUGGCGAACGGGUGAGUAACGCGUUGGUGACCUGCCCCGAAGAGUGGGAUAACAGCUCGAAAGGGCUGCUAAUACCGCAUGAGGUAAUGAGGAUUAGAAGCUGAUUACGAAAGGUGUGCGACUUGUCGCAGACCGCUUUGGGAGGGGCCUGCGUCCCAUCAGCUAGUUGGUAGGGUAACAGCCUACCAAGGCGACGACGGGUAGGGGACCUGAGAGGGUGAUCCCCCACACUGGCACUGAAACACGGGCCAGACACCUACGGGUGGCAGCAGUAGGGAAUAUUGCCCAAUGGGCGAAAGCCUGAGGCAGCAACGCCGCGCGCGCGAUGAAGGCCUUCGGGUCGUAAAGCGCUUUUCUGGAGGACGAGGAAGGACGGUACUCCAGGAAGAAGGCUCGGCUAACUACGUGCCAGCAGCCGCGGUAAAACGUAGGAGCCAAGCGUUAUCCGAAUUCACUGGGCGUAAAGCGCCUGCAGGCGGCUGCGCAAGUUGGGUGUGAAAUCUCCCGGCUCAACUGGGAGAGGCCGCUCAAGACUGCGUGGCUAGAGGCUGGUAGAGGGAGGUGGAAUUCCCGGUGUAGUGGUGAAAUGCGUAGAUAUCGGGAGGAACACCAGUGGCGAAAGCGGCCUCCUGGACCAGACCUGACGCUAAGAGGCGAAAGCUAGGGGAGCGAACGGGAUUAGAAACCCCGGUAGUCCUAGCCGUAAACGAUGUAGACUA
rnacentral:rRNA from 1 species